GGUUGUGGCUCAGUGGUAGAGCGCUCGCCUAGCAUGCACCAGGCGCUGGGUUCGAUCCUCAGCACCA
rnacentral:tRNA from 1 species